CCUACGGGAGGCAGCAGUAGGGAAUAUUGCGCAAUGGGCGAAAGCCUGACGCAGCAACACCGCGUGAAUGAUAAGGCCUUUCGGGUGUUAAGCUCUGUUUAUCGGGACGGAUUAUGACUGUAUCUCUAUAGGAAGCACCGGCUAACUCCGUGCCAGCAGCCGCGGUAAUACGGGGGGUGCAAGCGUUGUCCGGAAUCAUUGGGCGUAAAGCGUUCGUAGGCGGCAGGGUAAGUCAGAUGUUAAAACCCGGGGCUCAACCCCGGUACUGCAUUGGAUACUAUCUUUCUAGAGUGUGGGAGAGGUAGAGGGAAUUCCUGGUGUAGCGGUGAAAUGCGUAGAUAUCAGGAGGAACAUCGGUGGCGAAGGCGCUUUGCUGGACCAUUAUUGACGCUGAGGAGCGAAAGCGAGGGGAGCAAAUGGGAUUAGAUACCCCAGUAGUC
rnacentral:rRNA from 1 species